rnacentral:lncRNA from 1 species
GCAAGAACAUUUAAAUAUGAUUAAUUCCUGUGAGGAAAAGAUUAUCCAAGACACACAUUUUCCAAAAUCUUAUUUUUUUCUUGCCCUUAAAAAAUCCAAGAGAUGUCAUAUUUAACUAAAGAUUUAGUUCAAAAUUUAGACAAAAGAAACUGUUGGAAAUCAAACCGAUGAUAUUUUAAAUUCCCCAUUAUAAGCAUUGCUGAAUAUUUAAAGAUAACACAAUUGGUUAAUUUUUUUUUUUGUAGUUGCUGAAUUAAUGAGACUCGAUUUUUUUUUCUUUUUGAAAUUUUUUGUUGCAGGCAUCUUAUUCCAUGCAAUCAUCACAUGAAGAAUAAAACAGAAAUCCCACAAUUAUAUAUGAUUUCAAAGAAAAUUGAAACCAAAAUCUUAGAGUAUACAACAAGUUAUUAUUUUUAAAGGCUCAAUUUAUUCUAGGCAGAGAU